rnacentral:rRNA from 1 species
UAUCUUAGUGGUACUACCCUAAAGGCACCAGAUCCUUUUGGAUCUUGAAAGCUAGGCAAGAUCAGGCCUGGCUAGUAGUUGAAUGAGAGAUUGCCAACAAAUACCAGGUAAUGUGGGUU